GAAAUGGUAGUUCAGCGGUUAAGACAUUGGACUUCUGGUCAGAAGGUCAUGAGUUCAAAUCCCAGACCUGCCA